GCCUGCAACUCGGCUGCAUGAAGCUGGAAUCGCUAGUAAUCGCGGAUCAGAAUGCCGCGGUGAAUGCGUUCCCGGGUCUUGUACACACCGCCCGUCACACCAUGGGAGCCGGGAAUGCCCGAAGUCAGCGGCCUAACCGCAAGGGGGGAGCUGCCGAAGGCAGGCCUGGUAACUGGGGUGAAGUCGUAACAAGGUAGC
rnacentral:rRNA from 1 species